AUUGAACGCUGGCGGCAGGCCUAACACAUGCAAGUCGAGCGGAUGAGUGGAGCUUGCUCCAUGAUUCAGCGGCGGACGGGUGAGUAAUGCCUAGGAAUCUGCCCUGGUAGUGGGGGACAACGUUUCGAAAGGAACGCUAAUACCGCAUACGUCCUACGGGAGAAAGCAGGGGACCUUCGGGCCUUGCGCUAUCAGAUGAGCCUAGGUCGGAUUAGCUAGUAGGUGAGGUAAUAGGCUCACCUAGGCGACGAUCCGUAACUGGUCUGAGAGGAUGAUCAGUCACACUGGAACUGAGACACGGUCCAGACUCCUACGGGAGGC
rnacentral:rRNA from 1 species